GGUCUUAAUGAUGAAUUGGAGGAAGUCAUUGUUGAGAAAACGAAACAGACAUUGGCUUCUAUCACUUCUGGACCCAAACAUACUCA
rfam:Human rhinovirus 92 VP1 capsid protein gene, partial cds.